rnacentral:rRNA from 1 species
AAACAUCGAUAGCGCACUACACCUGCUAUCCGCCUGGGAACUACGAGCAUCAGCUUGAAACCCAAAGGACUUGGCGGUGCUUUAGUACCACCUAGAGGAGCCUGUUCUAGAACCGAUAACCCCCGUUCAACCUCACCCCUUCUUGUUUAUCCCGCCUAUAUACCGCCGUCGUCAGCUUACCCUGUGAAGGAAAAAUAGUAAGCAUAAUUGCACAGCCCAAAACGUCAGGUCGAGGUGUAGCGCAUGGAGGGGGAAGAAAUGGGCUACAUUCCCUAAUGUAGUGAAUACGAACGAUGCACUGAAAAGUGUGUCUGAAGGAGGAUUUAGCAGUAAGCAGGAAAUAGAGUGUCCC